rnacentral:snRNA from 1 species
AUACUUACCUGGCAGGGGAGAUACCAUGAUCACGAAGGUGGUUUUCCCAGGGCGAGGCUUAUCCAUUGCACCCCAGAUGUGCUGCCCCCUGCGAUUUCCCCAAAUGUGGGAAACUCGACUGCAUAAUUUGUGGUAGGGGGGGACUGAAAAAAAAAAAAAAAAUUUUAGAUGCAUUUUUGCCAGUUCUUUU